CUCCGGGCGGCCGUGACCCUGCUGGAGUCCGGGGGGGACCUCCAGCCCCCCGGGGGGUCCCUGCGCCUCCUCUGCCGCGCCUCCGGAUUUGAUUUUGGGAGUUUUCGGAUGGGCUGGAUGCGCCAGAGACCCGGGAAGGCGCUGGAAUUCCUUGCACAGAUCAGCGGCAGUGGUGCUUACACGUACUAUGCGCCGUCCUUUAAGGGCCGGUUCACCAUCAGCAGGGACAACGGGCAGAGCUCGGUGACGCUGAGCAUGAACAACCUCCAGGACGAGGAUUCCGGGGUUUAUUUCUGUGCCAAACCGGCUGUGGCUGGCUGGGGUGUUGAUGCUGGUAAUGGUGAUGGUAGCUGUGCCAGACCCAAAGCACCACCGUUCAUGGAAAACAAAUGUCCCAGAAUUCCCAAAUCCUGCCCCAAUCCCAGCCCUGGGCCCCAAAUCUGGGUCCUUUCACCCCAAACUCCGCCCCUGCUGCCCCAACUCUCCCCUCUCAGCCGGGGCCAGAGCGAGCCCGGCUGGGGAUAA